rnacentral:rRNA from 1 species
GGUUAAGCGACUAAGCGUACACGGUGGAUGCCCUGGCAGUCAGAGGCGAUGAAGGACGUGCUAAUCUGCGAUAAGCGUCGGUAAGGUGAUAUGAACCGUUAUAACCGGCGAUUUCCGAAUGGGGAAACCCAGUGUGUUUCGACACACUAUCAUUAACUGAAUCCAUAGGUUAAUGAGGCGAACCGGGGGAACUGAAACAUCUAAGUACCCCGAGGAAAAGAAAUCAACCGAGAUUCCCCCAGUAGCGGCGAGCGAACGGGGAGCAGCCCAGAGCCUGAAUCAGUAUGUGUGUUAGUGGAAGCGUCUGGAAAGGCGCGCGAUACAGGGUGACAGCCCCGUACACAAAAAUGCACAUAUUGUGAGCUCGAUGAGUAGGGCGGGACACGUGGUAUCCUGUCUGAAUAUGGGGGGACCAUCCUCCAAGGCUAAAUACUCCUGACUGACCGAUAGUGAACCAGUACCGUGAGGGAAAGGCGAAAAGAACCCCGGCGAGGGGAGUGAAAAAGAACCUGAAACCGUGUACGUACAAGCAGUGGGAGCACGCUUCGGCGUGUGACUGCGUACCUUUUGUAUAAUGGGUCAGCGACUUAUAUUCUGUAGCAAGGUUAACCGAAUAGGGGAGCCGAAGGGAAACCGAGUCUUAACUGGGCGUUAAGUUGCAGGGUAUAGACCCGAAACCCGGUGAUCUAGCCAUGGGCAGGUUGAAGGUUGGGUAACACUAACUGGAGGACCGAACCGACUAAUGUUGAAAAAUUAGCGGAUGACUUGUGGCUGGGGGUGAAAGGCCAAUCAAACCGGGAGAUAGCUGGUUCUCCCCGAAAGCUAUUUAGGUAGCGCCUCGUGAAUUCAUCUCCGGGGGUAGAGCACUGUUUCGGCAAGGGGGUCAUCCCGACUUACCAACCCGAUGCAAACUGCGAAUACCGGAGAAUGUUAUCACGGGAGACACACGGCGGGUGCUAACGUCCGUCGUGAAGAGGGAAACAACCCAGACCGCCAGCUAAGGUCCCAAAGUCAUGGUUAAGUGGGAAACGAUGUGGGAAGGCCCAGACAGCCAGGAUGUUGGCUUAGAAGCAGCCAUCAUUUAAAGAAAGCGUAAUAGCUCACUGGUCGAGUCGGCCUGCGCGGAAGAUGUAACGGGGCUAAACCAUGCACCGAAGCUGCGGCAGCGACGCUUAUGCGUUGUUGGGUAGGGGAGCGUUCUGUAAGCCUGUGAAGGUGUGCUGUGAGGCAUGCUGGAGGUAUCAGAAGUGCGAAUGCUGACAUAAGUAACGAUAAAGCGGGUGAAAAGCCCGCUCGCCGGAAGACCAAGGGUUCCUGUCCAACGUUAAUCGGGGCAGGGUGAGUCGACCCCUAAGGCGAGGCCGAAAGGCGUAGUCGAUGGGAAACAGGUUAAUAUUCCUGUACUUGGUGUUACUGCGAAGGGGGGACGGAGAAGGCUAUGUUGGCCGGGCGACGGUUGUCCCGGUUUAAGCGUGUAGGCUGGUUUUCCAGGCAAAUCCGGAAAAUCAAGGCUGAGGCGUGAUGACGAGGCACUACGGUGCUGAAGCAACAAAUGCCCUGCUUCCAGGAAAAGCCUCUAAGCAUCAGGUAACAUCAAAUCGUACCCCAAACCGACACAGGUGGUCAGGUAGAGAAUACCAAGGCGCUUGAGAGAACUCGGGUGAAGGAACUAGGCAAAAUGGUGCCGUAACUUCGGGAGAAGGCACGCUGAUAUGUAGGUGAAGCGACUUGCUCGUGGAGCUGAAAUCAGUCGAAGAUACCAGCUGGCUGCAACUGUUUAUUAAAAACACAGCACUGUGCAAACACGAAAGUGGACGUAUACGGUGUGACGCCUGCCCGGUGCCGGAAGGUUAAUUGAUGGGGUUAGCGCAAGCGAAGCUCUUGAUCGAAGCCCCGGUAAACGGCGGCCGUAACUAUAACGGUCCUAAGGUAGCGAAAUUCCUUGUCGGGUAAGUUCCGACCUGCACGAAUGGCGUAAUGAUGGCCAGGCUGUCUCCACCCGAGACUCAGUGAAAUUGAACUCGCUGUGAAGAUGCAGUGUACCCGCGGCAAGACGGAAAGACCCCGUGAACCUUUACUAUAGCUUGACACUGAACAUUGAGCCUUGAUGUGUAGGAUAGGUGGGAGGCUUUGAAGUGUGGACGCCAGUCUGCAUGGAGCCGACCUUGAAAUACCACCCUUUAAUGUUUGAUGUUCUAACGUUGACCCGUAAUCCGGGUUGCGGACAGUGUCUGGUGGGUAGUUUGACUGGGGCGGUCUCCUCCUAAAGAGUAACGGAGGAGCACGAAGGUUGGCUAAUCCUGGUCGGACAUCAGGAGGUUAGUGCAAUGGCAUAAGCCAGCUUGACUGCGAGCGUGACGGCGCGAGCAGGUGCGAAAGCAGGUCAUAGUGAUCCGGUGGUUCUGAAUGGAAGGGCCAUCGCUCAACGGAUAAAAGGUACUCCGGGGAUAACAGGCUGAUACCGCCCAAGAGUUCAUAUCGACGGCGGUGUUUGGCACCUCGAUGUCGGCUCAUCACAUCCUGGGGCUGAAGUAGGUCCCAAGGGUAUGGCUGUUCGCCAUUUAAAGUGGUACGCGAGCUGGGUUUAGAACGUCGUGAGACAGUUCGGUCCCUAUCUGCCGUGGGCGCUGGAGAACUGAGGGGGGCUGCUCCUAGUACGAGAGGACCGGAGUGGACGCAUCACUGGUGUUCGGGUUGUCAUGCCAAUGGCACUGCCCGGUAGCUAAAUGCGGAAGAGAUAAGUGCUGAAAGCAUCUAAGCACGAAACUUGCCCCGAGAUGAGUUCUCCCUGACUCCUUGAGAGUCCUGAAGGAACGUUGAAGACGACGACGUUGAUAGGCCGGGUGUGUAAGCGCAGCGAUGCGUUGAGCUAACCGGUACUAAUGAACCGUGAGGCUUAACCUU